CAUCUGCGGCUGCAUUAGAAGAUGUUUCAAUAAUCUUACCAAGGGAGGUUUUUGUGGUUCCCACUGAACACCAGUUGCACUGGUUUACAUUUAGUAUAUAUGAGAUACAUUAAAGAUAUAUAAAGUUUCCCAGUUACUCCACUAAACCAUUUCAUUUCAUAGCAAAAAUCUGGUGGCUUUUCACAUGGGACUGGUUUGAAGAAUUUUCAUCUCAUUAUCUUUGGCCAUGGUGAGCUUUCCUUUAUCAUCAUGGCUGAAUAGAUUUUAUUGGAUUGUAAUCUGAAAACCAUUAAAACCUUCUUAUGUGAAUUAUUAAUAAAAUAUGUAGAAUGUAUUAAGAAAUGUGUGAGACAAUGAAAAUCAAUAGUUCACCAGCAUUAAAGAGAGUUUCUGUGUAUCUGUGUGUAAAGUCAGUGAGGUGAAUAAUGAUCUUCAACAUCAACAUCUGCAGAAGCUCAAAGCUGCAGCGCUGCAGUCUCUCACAAAGAGGUUUUUGUACGAUGCUUUCACACUGUGUGAACACCCAGUCUGUGGUGCCAGAGACACCCUUGUCAUGUUGACUCUGACAGUAAUAAACUCCUGAAUCUUCAGGCUGGACUCCACUGAUGGUCAGAGUAAAAUCCAUGUGGUUUCCACUUUCACUGCCACUGAAUCUAGAAGAAACACCUGAAGCUCUCUCUGAUGUGUAAUAGAUCAGGAGUUUAGGAACUUCUCCAGGAAUCUGAUGGAACCAGGACAUGCAAUACAGAGAGGAGCUGUCAGUCAUAAAAUCAUAAAGUCCCAGAUCUACUAUAAAGACCUCCAGAGCACUGAAGCAUGCAGUUCAAUGCAAAAUUUUGCCAAAGUCGAUUCUGUCCCCACCACAGAAGAAACUUCCUGCUUCUGGGUUGCCUACCUUUUCAGUGCAUCAGCUGCGGCUCGUCCCGCUCUCACAGUGCUGCUGCCCUCCAGAGACGAGCUGCAGCAGGGGAAGGCUACAGUGCUGUGUGUGGCCAGUAAGGGAUACCCCUCUGACUGGAAGCUGAGCUGGAAGGUGGACUGCAGCAGCAGGAGCUCUGGUGUGGAUCUGAGUCCCAGUCAGCUGCAGAAGGAUGGACUGUACAGCUGGAGCAGCAGCCUGAGCCUCACUGAGAGUGAGUGGAGCAGAGCAGCAACCGUCAGCUGUGAAGCCACGCACCCGUCCCACACUGCAGUCACCAAGAGCCUCAACACAAAGCAGUGUGAUGACCAGUGAAAUACACCAACAGACACACUGUCCUAAUUAAGCCGCUGCUCAACAAUUAAUCUUUCAUGCUAUUAGUAUAUUUUUCAUAUAGGUCUUAUUGUUGUAAUUCUACAACUGCCAUGCUUUGAAUUUUUUAUGUUAUUCUUGCUGCCAAAUAAAAGCAUUUUGUCUCAAA